AGUAUAAGCAAUUAUACCGUGAAACUGCGAAUGGCUCAUUAAAUCAGUUAUCGUUUAUUUGAUAGUACCUUACUACUUGGAUACCCGUGGUAAUUCUAGAGCUAAUACAUGCAAAAAACCCCGACUUCGGAAGGGGUGUAUUUAUUAGAUAAAAAACCAAUGCCCUUCGGGGCUCCUUGGUGAUUCAUAAUAACUUAACGGAUCGCAUGGCCUUGCGCCGGCGACGGUUCAUUCAAAUUUCUGCCCUAUCAACUUUCGAUGGUAAGGUAUUGGCUUACCAUGGUUUCAACGGGUAACGGAUUUUUAGGGAAAGAUCCCGGAGAGGGAGCCUGAGAAACGGCUACCACAUCCAAGGAAGGCAGCAGGCGCGCAAAUUACCCAAUCCCGACACGGGGAGGUAGUGACAAUAAAUACUGAUACAGGGCUCUUUUGGGUCUUGUAAUCGGAAUGAGUACAAUUUAAAUACCUUAACGAGGAACAAUUGGAGGGCAAGUCUGGUGCCAGCAGCCGCGGUAAUUCCAGCUCCAAUAGCGUAUAUUAAAGUUGUUGCAGUUAAAAAGCUCGUAGUUGAACCUUGGGCCUGGCUGGCCGGUCCGCCUCACCGCGUGUACUGGUCCGGCCGGGCCUUUCCUUCUGGAGAACCGCAUGCCCUUCACUGGGUGUGUCGGGGAACCAGGACUUUUACUUUGAGAAAAUUAGAGUGUUCAAAGCAGGCCUUUGCUCGAAUACGUUAGCAUGGAAUAAUAGAAUAGGACGUGCGGUCCUAUUUUGUUGGUUUCUAGAACCGCCGUAAUGAUUAAUAGGGAUAGUCGGGGGCGUCAGUAUUCAAUUGUCAGAGGUGAAAUUCUUGGAUCUAUUGAAGACUAACUACUGCGAAAGCAUUCGCCAAGGAUGUUUUCAUUAAUCAGUGAACGAAAGUUAGGGGAUCGAAGACGAUCAGAUACCGUCGUAGUCUUAACCGUAAACUAUGCCGACUAGGGAUCGGGCGAUGUUUCUAUCUUGACUCGCUCGGCACCUUACGAGAAAUCA
rnacentral:rRNA from 1 species